GAGCAACUGUUGUUGGGCUGGGAGGAGAGCGGCAAGCUGGGAGGGAGCAAGACCAGGAGGAAGGAGGUGGAAUUGAGGACAGUGAUGGGAAACGAGAUGGAAACAUGCACAAGGGAGGGGAAAGAGAAUGAUGCAGGAUGACAGCGAUAACGUAAAGGACGAACAGAAUGAAGACGGAUGUGGAAACGUCAAACGUCAGGAGAGAGAACAGAGAAGUGUCAGCUGAGCAUUCCAGGAACUGAGGUGCAGGUGAAUCUGUUAGCGGACAGUAAAAGCAUGCCAGAGCAAGACAAGCCAGAAAAGCAACCCUCUUAACAUAAGGAACGUUUAACUUCUGCUGCAGGUUCUUCGGGGUUUCUACACACUUGAGGAUUCCAGACAGUUUUCACAACAUUACUCUGAAAACAACGCUUCGACCUGAAGCGUGUUUGGAGCUGCUCAUGUAUUUAAUAAACUCAGAAGAAACAGCCCGAAACAACUGGAAGCAACAAACUAAACCACAGCUCCUGGAUUCCAGUCAUGAGUGAGGAGUCAUUUAUUUAUUGCAGCCUGUCUUUGUCGCAGUGAAGUUUCAUUUUGUUUUUACAUUUUAGUUUGUAAAAGAUGUGAAACUGUUGAGCAAAGUGAAUGAAAAAUG